rnacentral:rRNA from 1 species
AUUGAACGCUGGCGGCAGGCCUAAUACAUGCAAGUCGAGCGGAUGAAGGGAGCUUGCUCCCGGAUUCAGCGGCGGACGGGCGGGUAAUGCCUAGGAAUCUGCCUUGCCGUGGGGGAUAACGUCCGGAAACGGGCGCUAAUAUCGUACACGUUCUGAGGGUGAAAGUGGGGGUUCAUCGGACCUCACGGUAUUUGAUGAGCCUAGGUCGGAUUAGCUAGUUGGUUGGGUAAAGGCCUACCAAGGCGACGAUCCGUAACUGGUCUGAGAGGGUGAUCAGUCACACUGGAACUGAGACACGGUCCAGACUCCUACGGGAGGCAGCAGUGGGGAAUAUUGGGCAAUGGGCGAAAGCCUGAUGCAGCAAUGCCGCGUGUGUGAUGAAGGUCUUCGGAUUGUAAAGCUCUGUAAGUUGGGAGGAAGGGCAGUAAGUUAAUACCUUCCUGUUUUGACGGUACCUACAGAGAAAGCACCGGCUAACUACGUG